UUUUUUUUUUUUUUUUUUUUGGUUUUUCGAGACAGAGUUUCUCUGUAUAGCCCUUGGCUGUCCUGGAACUCGGCUUCAAUAGACUCUUAUACAGAGUUCUCACUCUCUUCAAACCCAACUCCUGACCAAUUGAGUUCUGUUCUGUUCCUCAGGACUAAGGGACUGUUCUGCCCACGCUGCCCUGCUGAUCAAGGUGACCCAAAGUCAUCCCCUGACAACAGUGCUCUACUGAGUCAGAAAGCUCUACAGACUAAUAGCUACUCAGAAAUCCUUGGAUAAAAUAAUGCCUUAAAGUCUUAAAUUAUAGCCUCAAACAAUUUACAUAAUAAAUCAAGAGUUUGGGAAUCCAAGGAGUAUUAGCAUGUUUUGGGUUUUGUUGCUAGGGAACUUGGCCUCGGACUUCAAAUGAUGUAUUUCUCUUCAUUGCUCUCGCGCUCUCUCUCGCCCUCUCUCCCUCCCUCUCUCUCUGAAAACAACUGAGUGCUUUCAUGUUUGGGACCAUAGGGAAGGACUUAGUAGGUUAUGCAUUUAUCCGGUGGACGACGUAACUGAGCAUAUUUACUUUUAAUGUGACUGAAGAAAAACAGCAGAUGAGCAGUAGCCAGGCACAUCCAAGGCAUAACUAAUGCAUCAGGUUCCUGGAACAUCUGCGUUCAAAGGUUUGGUCUUCAUCAAAAUGCUCCAAGGUGAUUUUUUUUUUCAAGAGAGAAAGGUGGAGGCAGCCAGCCGUGGAGAUGGGUAGCAGACAGUUACCUAGCAGAUGUGUCUACUGAAUAUAGCUUUAACUCGGUCCAUGAUCUCUCUUGCAUGGGAGGUUAGUUGGAAAAGUUCUAGUAAAGGUUACACAAUAAAAAUGGAGUCAUUUAGUUCUUUCUGUUCAGUACAGCUUCAUACAGAGAGUGGGGUUCUGAGCUGUGAUUCUAUUUGUUGUUGGCAUAAUUGCCCCUGCUUUAGACGUCUUUUGCCAGGGUGACAAAAGUCCCUUCAGUGUGGGGUAGAAGGCUCUGGCUGAGUCUAACCUGAUUAUAAGCUAGUCUCUGGAUGGUGGCUGGCUGGAAGGGAUUACUUGGGGAAACCUGAGGCCAGGAUGCAAAUAAAGGCAAAGUUUCCCCUUAGGUAAUGGCAGCAGUCAGAACUAGACAGCUGAUAACAUUGUUCUGUUUCCUGUGUUCCUGUGUGAUCCCCCCUUAGGCAUUUCAUUCAGGUCUCAUCCACCUGGCAAUGCUGAUGUGCCAGGAACUGGCAAGGGGCACCCCAGCUUCCCCAGGGCUGGGUGCAAGCAGUCCUCAGCGAGCCUUCUCUGCAUGUGAUUGUCUCCCCGAAGUUGAUUCUCUCUUCAUGUCAUAUUAGGGACAGUAGCAGGCCGCCCUUGCACAAGGGCUGCGCAAGCCUCCAUGGGUGGUGACAACAUUUUGUCACAACCUUCUGAGUGGCCGAGUUCAAUGUGGGCAUUCUUCUUAGAGGCAUAAUGACAGCCAGGAGAGUCACAGCCUCUUUCUACUACACAAUAAAGACCCUUCACCCAUGCCGUGGGCGAUCACUUAGAAUCUCAUUUUGUGGAUUUGAUAAACAUGAUGAGCAACCGUUUGUAAGAAAGCAUUUUUGUGAGGUUUUCUGAUAACAGAUGGUUAAAUGUUUGAAGUUUUGGCUGGACCACGUUUUCUAUUUGUAAUCUACUAAAGGAAUUCACUGAUAAGUCCUCUCCCUUUCUGUGUUCAUUAUAGUCAAUUCUUAGUCAUCAAAGUCAGUAUAGAAAAUCACUCAUGAUACAAACCUAGGAAUGGCCUCAAGAUAAUUUGUAUUUGAUUUUGAGUUAGAACCAGCAGGCAUGUAACAUCCAUGUGCUCAAACAUUAGCCUGCUGUGAGGCCCAGUCGAUGCUACCCAUCUUGUCUGCUUUCUUUGUGAAGACAGGGAGGGGGUGUGUGGAACUGAUACAUACGUGGUACAGGAACAGGCACAGCUGGGGCCAGGAUAGCAGGAGAAGAAAGUAAGUGCCAAUCCUCACAGUAUAAUUAGGUAUGGUGGAGAUAGUAGGCCAGUAUCCUUCUGGAAAUAUCACAGGAAGAUUUUAUGGAUGCUUUUUAAAACAUUAAAUAACACCUAUGUGUGAUUAAAACAACAACUGGAAAGACUUUUAAUGAAAAUUAACUACCCUGCAUCACCUGGCUGGCUCCUCUCUUAAGCCUACUUCGUUCAGAUAGCCUUUAUGUUGCUAUAGCUGUUUAUAGGUCUUCGGGUGAGUACCUUCAUCUCUGUAAUGGCACAAGUCUACCCUGCACACUCAUCUCCCUGGGCUGCUAAGUACCGUACACUGGGUGCACAGCAGAGACCAGCAGGUUGCUUGGUCUCCUGAUCUCCAGGUUGGGAGUCCAGAGUCCAGAGUGAGCAAGGUCAUCUUUGCCGAAGGCUCCAGAAAGGAUUCUUCCAUGCCUCUUCCAGCUCUUGCUGGUGACCAUUCAUCCUUGAUAUUCCAGUUGCUUGUCCUGCAGGUCUCUGGCUUCUU
rnacentral:lncRNA from 1 species